rnacentral:rRNA from 1 species
GAGUUUGAUCGUGGCUCAGGACGAACGCUGGCGGCGUGCCUAAUACAUGCAAGUCGAGCGGAUCUUCAUUAGCUUGCUUUUGAAGAUCAGCCGGCGGACGGGUGAGUAACACGUGGGCAACCUGCCUGUAAGACUGGGAUAACUUCGGGAAACCGGAGCUAAUACCGGAUGAUCCUUUUCCUCUCAUGAGGAAAAGCUGAAAGACGGUUUCGGCUGUCACUUACAGAUGGGCCCGCGGCGCAUUAGCUAGUUGGUGAGGUAACGGCUCACCAAGGCGACGAUGCGUAGCCGACCUGAGAGGGUGAUCGGCCACACUGGGACUGAGACACGGCCCAGACUCCUACGGGAGGCAGCAGUGGGAAUCUUCCGCAAUGGACGAAAGUCUGACGGAGCAACGUCCGCGUGAGCGAUGAAGGCCUU